UCCUGCCCCACCUUAACUGAGUGAUUAACCCUGUGAAUUUCCUUCUCCUGGCUCAGAAGCUCCCCCACUGAGCACCUUGUGACCCCUGCCCCUGCCCACCAGAGAACAACCCCCUUUGACUGUAAUUUUCCAUUACCUUCCCAAAUCCUAUAAAACGGCCCCAUCCCUAUCUCCCUUCACUGACUCUCUUUUCGGACUCAGCCCGCCUGCACCGAGGUGAAAUAAACAGGCAUGUUGCUCACACAAAGCCUGUUUGGUGGUCUCUUCACACGGACUUGAGUGAAAUUUGGUGCUGUGACUCGGAUUGGGGAACCUCCGUUGGGAGAUCAAUCCCCCGUCCUCCUGCUCUUUACUCCAUGAGAAAGAUCCACCUACGACCUCAGGUCCUCAGACCAACCAGCCCAAGAAACAUCUCACCAAUUUCAAAUCUGAGACAAAGGAGACACGUUUUAUCCAUGGACCCAAAACUCCGGCGCCGGUCACGGACUGGGAAGGCAGACUUCCCUUGGUGUUUAAUCACUGCAGGGACACCUCUCUGAUUAUUCACCCACAUUUCAAAGGUGUCAGACCACACAGGGAUGCCUGCCUUGGUCCUUCACCCUUCGCGGCAAGUCCUGCUUUUCUGGGGGAGGGGCAAGUACCCCUCAACCCCUUCUCCUUCACCCUUAGCGGCAAGUCCUGCUUUUCUGGAGGAGGGGCAAGUACCCCAACCCCUUCUCUCCGUGUCUCUACCCCUUCUCUGCUUUUCUGGAGGAGAGGCAAGUACCCCAACCUCAUAUCUCUGCACCCCGAUCCCUUAUUUCCACGCCCCGACCUCGUAUCUCUGCGCCCCGACCCCUUCUCUGUUUUUCUGGAGGACAAGAAACCCCCACCCCUUCUCUGUGUCUCUACUCUUUUCUCUGGGCUUGCCUCCUUCACUAUGGGCAAGCUUCCACCUUCCAUUCCUCCUUCUCCCUUAGCCUGUGUUCUUAAGAACUUAAAACGUCUUCAACUGUCACCUCACCUAAAAUCUAAGUGUCUUAUUUUCUUCUGCAAUGCCGCUUGACCCCAAUACAAACUCGACAGUAGUUCCAAAUAGCCGGCAAACGGCACUUUCAAUUUUUCCAUCCUACAAGAUCUAAAUAAUUCUUGUUGUAAAAUGGGCAAAUGGUCUGAGGUGGCUGACAUCCAGGCAUUCUUUCACACAUCAGUCCCUUCCUAGUCUCUGUGCCCAGUGCAACUCAUCCCAAAUCUUCCUUCUUUCCCUCUCGCCUGUCCCCUCAGUCCCAACCCCAAGCAUCGCUGAGUCUUUCUAAUCUUCCUUUUCUACAGACCCAUCUGACCUCUCCCCUCCUCACCAGGCCAAGCUAGGUCCCGAUUCUUCCUCAGCCUCCGCUCCUCCACCCUAUAAUCUUUUUAUCGCCUCCCCUCCUCACACCUGGUCCAGCUUACAAUUUCGUUCCAUGAGUAGCCCUCCCCCACCUGCCCAGCAAUUUACUCUUAAAAAGGUGGCUGGAGCCAAAGGCAUAGUCAAGGUUAAUGCUCCUUUUUCUUUAUUCCAAAUCAGAAGCGUUUAGGCUCUUUUUCAUCAAAUAUAAAAACCCAGCCCAGUUCAUGGCUCAUUCAGCAGCAACCCUGAGACGCUUUACAGCCCUAGACCCUAAAAGGUCAAAAGGCCAUCUUAUUCUCAAUAUACAUUUUAUUACCCAAUCUGCUCCCGACAUUAAAUAAAACUCCCAAAAUUGGAAUCUGGCCCUCAAACCCCACAACAGGACUUAAUUAACCUCACUUUCAAGGUGUACAAAUAAUAAAAAAAAGUUGCAAUUCCUUGCCUCCACUGUGAGACAAACCCCAGCCACAUCUCCAGCACACAAGAACUUCCAAACGCCUGAACCGCAGCAGCCAGGCGUUCCUCCAGAACCUCCUCCCCCAGGAGCUUGCUACAAGUGCCAGAAAUCUGACCACCAGGCCAAGGAAUGCCUGCAGCCCAGGAUUCCUCCUAAGCCGUGUCCCAUCUGUGCGGGACCCCACUGGAAAUCGGACUGUUCAACUCACCUGGCAGCCACUCCCAGAGCCCCUGGAACUCUGGCCCAAGGCUCUCUGACCGACUCCUUCUCGGCUUAGCAGCUGAAGACUGACACUGCCCGACCACCUCGAAAGCCCCGUAGACCAUCACAGACGCCGAGCUUCAAGUAACUCUCACAGUGCAAGUUUUGGCACAGCAACCAAAGAGCCUUCCUUCCUGAUGACAGACCACCAACCACGGAGUGAUUCUGGACAGUCUAUGGAGGAUGCACAGUGAAGGUUUUCAUGUCCUCCGCUUCACCUUCAGAUGUUAGAGGGCUGGGAACUCCAUCCUCUGAUAAUGCAAAUGCCACCAUUUUUGCUCAAGGGGCCCAUGAAGGGGCAUGAAGCUGAACUGCACAUGUGAAUGUUUCUCCUUUCAUAAAUCUUCAUGACUCCUCCUAUAGCUUACUAAAUAUGUAUAUUGGGCUACCUUGCUCAGCAAAAAUUCCUGUUCCCUUUGCCCUUCCCUCCAAGUAUCUGUUUCAAGCUUCUGGGGGGAAGCUAUGCUUCCCAGCCUGUCAGAAUGGCCACUCUGCAGGCUGCAAUCCUUUAUGAGAAAUAAAGCUCUCCUUUUUAAAUUUA